GACAAAAACAAAGCUGAAACAUCAUGUUCAUCAAGUUGAAGCAAGAGUAUACUAUAACAUAAUCACAUCAUAAUCUAUCCAAUAAUAUUACAUGAGAGUGCAGUGUAGAAGAUCCGAAUUAUUUAUUAUACAUACUCAUUAUAACAUUGCUCUACCACUAGAACUAUAAUUUAUCCAUCUGACAUUAAAACUAUACAAAUUUAUACAAGUAAACAAUACACAGGUAUGCCUCCAAAACCAUAGGUUUAAAAAUUUGGCAACAUUUUUUCAACUACAAUUUCUUAAACCAU
rnacentral:lncRNA from 1 species